rnacentral:sRNA from 1 species
AAAGGAAGAUUAUUGUCUUUGAUCAGUUGGUUUUUCCUAUAAACAUCAAGGUCAAAUUUUCUUUGGGAGUGGUUAUAAAUUGGACCAUCAGUUUGAAAGAUACAUCGGUAUAGUUAAAGACAUGAUCAAUCUCGUAGGCUGAAACCUUAGUUUGAUUAAUUGGGAGAUUCUAUGGAAUCUUUCAAAAAUAGUUUCCCACUUAUGUGGCCCAUAUAAGUGGCAUGUCUUGUUGUAUUUCCGAAAUGUUGGGCUUAGGCUGUUUCCCAUUGGACCGUUUCUCACCCACAUUUCGAGGAGGCCUAUUAGAAUAUGUUCCACAACAAUUGGGAUUAAGAUAUUUGGGCAUUAUAUAAAGGAUGUAACAAUCCUUAACUCUUGAGUUAGCUUUUGGGUUAAGGUAGGCCAUAUUCCUAAUAAGGUCUAAUCGAUCAUGAUGCAAGUUGAUUGGCUGAUCAACUCUACAAUUAGAAAGACACUGCUUGUU